rnacentral:rRNA from 1 species
UACGAAGGGGGCUAGCGUUGUUCGGAUUUACUGGGCGUAAAGCGCACGUAGGCGGAUCGAUCAGUCAGGGGUGAAAUCCCAGAGCUCAACUCUGGAACUGCCUUUGAUACUGUCGAUCUGGAGUACGGAAGAGGAAGGCGGAAUUCCCGGUGUAGCGGUGAAAUGCGUAGAUAUCGGGAGGAACAUCAGUGGCGAAGGCGGCCUUCUGGUCCAGUACUGACACUCAAGUGCGAAAGCGUGGGGAGCAAACAGG